rnacentral:rRNA from 1 species
CUGGGAGGACCAUCUCCUAAGGCUAAAUACUCUCUAGUGACCGAUAGUGAACCAGUACCGUGAGGGAAAGGUGAAAAGCACCCCGGAAGGGGAGUGAAAUAGAACCUGAAACCGUGUGCUUACAAGUAGUCAGAGCCCGUUAAUGGGUGAUGGCGUGCCUUUUGUAGAAUGAACCGGCGAGUUACGAUUUGAUGCAAGGUUAAGCAGUAAAUGUGGAGCCGUAGCGAAAGCGAGUCUGAAUAGGGCGUUUAGUAUUUGGUCGUAGACCCGAAACCAGGUGAUCUACCCUUGGUCAGGUUGAAGUUCAGGUA